UGUGAAAAUGACAACUCACAGCACGCAGCAGCUGCUAAUUUCCUCAACAUCGAUGAUGAACUUUGACCUAGAUUUUCUUCAAAACAGCUCAAGAAGCAGUCAGGAAGCAAGGCAUGAAUCUAGCAUUCUCACACAACUGGAGCAUUCUUUAUUUCUUGAGUGUUUUUAAGUGUUAAUUGCUUCAUAAACAACUUGUGAAAGGAGUCUGUUACAUAAGAACAAAGAAAACAAAAUUACCAGCAUGUUAACACUUUAUCUGAUGAUGUCAAUUUUUAUUCUAUCCUCAACUAAUGACUAUGGAUCAGAUCCUUCAGAUCUGACUCAGCCGUUGCUAAAGCUCAUGGCAACCAAAAACUCUCGAGAUUCUCCCUUACCCACAGUGCACAAAUCCCAAAUACCUCGGAUCUCGUUUACCACUUUACGAGAAAGAUGUGGUGACUGUUGCUCUCAAACAGGGCACGGCUGUGGAUGACAAGAGUACAGAUGCCAUUUUUAUGAAGCAAACCAUUUGAAACCACAUUCUCACAAUCCGGUUUCACAUUGUUUUCUAUGACAAGCAAAGUAAUACCUCCUGCUGCCCCUGACAGACAGGGGACUGUGCUCAAACUGUUUCACCUAGGGGAAAAAGAGAAUUUACCCUGGAUGUGUUCUACUAGUACCGUCUUCACACACUUCUUUGUGUCAGACCUGUUACCUAUUGGCUUUUUUGCUGACUUUGUCAUGUACUGGGGACAUUGUUUUUAGCCAUGUAUUGUAAUUGGUGAAAAUGUAAAAAAAAAAAAAGACUGCUAUGACAUACAACUAUUUUUAAUCUCUCCCCAAAGCCUUUUAUAAUUUUCUGUAGUUUAAUAUUAAGGCACAUAGCAGUUUUUGAGAGAAAAGAACAGAUGUCAGGCAUCUCAUUGUAAGUUAUCACACAGAUAAAGGGAACCUGCUGUGUAAUCUAAAGUAGAUUUCAGUUACCGGGUGUUAAUGUUGUAUGUUGCUGUGUGCAUGUAAAGAUCAGAUAGCCGUUACAGAAUAUAUUUUUCUGCUGAUAUUUCAGUCUUGUAUUAUGAGCACUCGUAUGAGUAUUGCAGCAUGUAGCAUAAUGUAGUAAUAAACUCUAACUCUGAUUUUAAUGUACAGACCUCAGGAGGCAUUGUUUGACAUGUAAUGCGCUGCUCUUCUGUGACCUAGAAUGCCUUAUGAGUCAGAGCUAUGAUCUAAGAUGGAUUAUGAAGUUUUAAACAGUGAUUUUUUUUUUUUCUUCUUUUGGGAAAAUUGUCAUAGACGGGCGCACAAAAAAUAAUUCCCAUGUGCGAUGUAAUACAUUUAGUCUGUCAUAAAUCCCUUUCCAGAGUUAACCAUUCCGUUUAUAAUUGUGUUGCAACUUUCCUUCUAGAAGUUUUGAUAAAAAUGUAUUUUCUGGAAUUAAACAUUUAUAUUGACCAUCACAAACGAGAAAGA